ACCAGGGACUGCUGGAUAGGUUUAAAUACUGGAGGCAGUUGGGUUAUUUAAUCUCUAAGAGGACAGCAGGUUGUAUGUGAAUGCUGGGAAGAGGAAAUGCUGUUCCUCACUGAUGUGUCUCUUCACUGAUCUGAUUAUGCCAGCUCAUGAAUCACAGUGGUGUAUUUACAUUUCUAAACCAUAUUAUGCUUUGCCUAAAAUCUUUGCGUAAUUGGCAAUCAGUAUUACUCAUUAUAUACAACAUGAAAGAGGGAAAUGCUUCCUCCUUUGGAAAAGCAGCAUAUCCUUAGUCUUAGGGCUCACAAAGGGCUUCGUACAAGGACUAACGUUACGUUCCUCAGUACAGAAUGAAGUCACGCUGGAUUACACAACACUCUUAAAUCCAGUUCUGGCACAGCUUGUCUUCCAGAGAUCAGAGACUGAAGAGACUUGGAGUUCCAACUUCAUUUUGGCCAAACCCAGUAGAGGACUGAGGUGGCUCAAGGGUAGUGCUUGGAGGCUCUGCUCACCAUUUGCUCCAAGGGUGCAACCAGCUGCCUCUCUGCCCCAGUGCUGGAGCAGCUGCAUGUCCCCAUUGCAGCAUGGCUGAUGCUUGGGCCUACUGAGCGCUUGAGGGGAUUUGUGCCUGGGGAGAGCAUCCCCAUGUCACUAUGGAGGCAGCCAUUGUAGAGGUGUGGAGAGACCACACCUCCAAGCUCCAAGGACUUUCCACAGUCAGUUUUUGUCCCUCUCAGUCCUAAUCCUGAUGCCAUUGGCACGCUUCUGACCUGAGGAUAGAGGCAAGACUAUCUCCCCAGUGGGGGGCAGCUGCUCCAGAAAUGAAGCAAGAGCAAAGGUGAGAGGGAAACAACUGCACACAGCCAGUUCAGGAGCAGAGGUUAACUCAGGGGACUCUUUUUUCCUCUCCUUUCCAAGCAGGAGUUUGAGAUUCCCACUUUCUCUCUCCCCAGUCUCAAAGAUGUGGAAAACUUCUGCUCUUCUCACAGCAUCUUUUUCUCUGGCCUCAAAUGUGCUGCAGCAUCUGCAAAGUCUUCCUUGCGGGGUUAGAAAUAUGAACUCUGUGCACUUGAAAGGAAGGAAACUUCCUCAAAGCCCACAGGAAUUUCAGUUUGGACCUGGUGUUGAGAUAAUAGACUUAGAAAGUUUGGACAUGAAGUUAGGAGUGUUACAUGGGCUCAUUUCAGAAGUUCUGGGAACUGCCUGUGAUGGCACAGCUGGACUGAUGGUAACUGAAGCACAGACUUUGCGAGUGAAGGAAUGUGGAAAACAGAGUUCAUAAAAUGAGACUGUUUUACAG
ensembl:lncRNA